rnacentral:lncRNA from 1 species
GAGAGAGAGAGAGAGAGAGGGAAGUAUCGGAGAAAGCAAAGACGGAAAAUGGAGGAUAGAGACGUUGUAGCUAUCCGGUUGUUGGACGCAUCUGUUACGCAUUUUUAAAAUUUGACACUUCAUCACCCCUCCUCCCGACGUAAUCUCCAACAGUCUUCACCUUUCAGUAAAUACUUGACGACUAGACUAGUUUUUUACUUUUAUUUACUGUCAGUACUCUUUAUAAAGACUAGUCUUUUACCCACUUGUAGCUCUUGAGGGUAAAAGACUAAGGGAAGGCGAAGGUUUACAACAAACUCUUGAAUGUGAUUGAGAAUGAAUCGAGAAAUGAGGAAUAAUGAAACUAACUUAACGGUUAUGAAGAGUGCCAACCAAACUUAACGAUUAAGAAAGCUGUCAAUAAAAAGGUGAUCAUGCCAAAGAAACACUAUGUCUACCUCGACUCAUUAGCAUGUAAGUGUUAAUAUGUGCAACACAUGGUAGCCAAGCCGAAAAUACAUGAAAAUAGAUAUUGGAAUGCAACGGCAAGAAAAAUAGUUAUGAAAGCUGAGAGGGAAUGUCUAGAAAUGUAGCAUAUGUACACACAUAUAUAUAUAUAUAUAUAUAUAUGAAUGGUUAAAAUUAAAUGACAUAAUAUAG